rnacentral:lncRNA from 1 species
UGGCUUGAAACAACCAGAAUGAGCACAACCCACUUUGGAGGCUGUUAUUUGGGGUCCCCAGGCCAGCUCCGCCAGGGGCUUUUCAAGGAGCAGAGUCUUAUGGGUCUCGCUGGUCUUACGUUUUCAUUGUGGAUUGCUCAAAUGCAAUACUCCAGCCUGUGGUUAUUCUACGGGAGGAACAAAGCCUGACUUUUGACUGGGAGUGAGCGCCCUGGCUGGAAUGGUAAUAAGACCCAGAAGCUUGAUGCCCUCUCUUUAUUUCUAUUGUUAUACAGAGUUGCCUUUCUUGGACUCAGAGCAGCACCGAAGUCACUGGGAUGGCCACCCAUCUUAAGACUCCCGUGUGAGGUUUUCUCCACAUGGCUUAUUGUGAUCACGUCCACAUCUCUGGUCAUGCUGCUUCUGGCUGCAAGACCUCUGCUCCCACCCAGCUGAAAGCAGUACUUGGUUGAAUUAAAACCCAACCAGGGACCAUUUCCUAGGGGAAUCUACAUGUCUUGAAAUGUCACUUCAAUAAUGAUGGAUUUCUCUCUUUACUCUUCUUUGUUAAUAUGCCCCACUGACUACUUAAAUUACAAUAUGAAGUCAUUAUCCCUUAUAAAGUUUUCUGGUAUUUUCCAUGGGUUAAGAAUGGCAGGUUCUCCACAGCAUUUCUGUCCUUUCACCAACA